rnacentral:rRNA from 1 species
UUAAUUGAAGAGUUUGAUCAUGGCUCAGAUUGAACGCUGGCGGCAGGCCUAACACAUGCAAGUCGAGCGGCAGCGACUUAACUGAACCUUCGGGGAACGUUAAGGGCGGCGAGCGGCGGACGGGUGAGUAAUGCCUGGGAAUAUGCCCUGAUGUGGGGGAUAACUAUUGGAAACGAUAGCUAAUACCGCAUAAUCUCUUCGGAGCAAAGAGGGGGACCUUCGGGCCUCUCGCGUCAGGAUUAGCCCAGGUGGGAUUAGCUUGUUGGUGAGGUAAUGGCUCACCAAGGCAACGAUCCCUAGCUGGUCUGAGAGGAUGAUCAGCCACACUGGAACUGAGACACGGUCCAGACUCCUACGGGAGGCAGCAGUGGGGAAUAUUGCACAAUGGGGGAAACCCUGAUGCAGCCAUGCCGCGUGUGUGAAGAAGGCC